rnacentral:ncRNA from 1 species
UUAAAUGUGAUGACGGGAAGAGUAACUUGAUCCAAGGGCAAAGAGAGUCGGCGAAGGGUGAAAGCCGAACCUUACGAUGAGUGAACAUGAACCCCGAACUGCCGAAUCGGCCGCGAGCUGGCGUUACAGUAAGAGUGCACCGUAAGGUGAACUAAGGUGGUACCACGCAGAAGCGUCCUUAGA